rnacentral:rRNA from 1 species
CCUACGGGGGGCUGCAGUGGGGAAUAUUGGACAAUGGGGGGAACCCUGAUCCAGCCAUGCCGCGUGUGUGAAGAAGGCCCUCGGGUUGUAAAGCACUUUCAGUGAGGAAGAACGCCUGGUGGUUAAUACCCAUCAGGAAAGACAUCACUCACAGAAGAAGCACCGGCUAACUCCGUGCCAGCAGCCGCGGUAAUACGGAGGGUGCGAGCGUUAAUCGGAAUUACUGGGCGUAAAGCGCGCGUAGGUGGCUUGAUAAGCCGGUUGUGAAAGCCCCGGGCUCAACCUGGGAACGGCAUCCGGAACUGUCAAGCUAGAGUGUAGGAGAGGAAGGUAGAAUUCCCGGUGUAGCGGUGAAAUGCGUAGAGAUCGGGAGGAAUACCAGUGGCGAAGGCGGCCUUCUGGACUGACACUGACACUGAGGUGCGAAAGCGUGGGUAGCAAACAGGAUUAGAUACCCUGGUAGUC